GCUAAAUACUCCUGACUGACCGAUAGUGAACCAGUACCGUGAGGGAAAGGCGAAAAGAACCCCGGCGAGGGGAGUGAAAAAGAACCUGAAACCGUGUACGUACAAGCAGUGGGAGCCCCACCACCAAAGCAUUCUCUGGUGUUGAAGGCCCUGCAAAGCAGCAUCGCGGUGGCGGAGCGUCGUUUGCGACGCCCAACACACAAAACAAGCGGUGAGUGCUUUGGGGUGGGGUGACUGCGUACCUUUUGUAUAAUGGGUCAGCGACUUAUAUUCUGUAGCAAGGUUAACCGAAUAGGGGAGCCGGAGGGAAACCGAGUCUUAAUUGGGCGUUAAGUUGCAGGGUAUAGACCCGAAACCCGGUGAUCUAGCCAUGGGCAGGUUGAAGGUUGGGUAACACUAACUGGAGGACCGAACCGACUAAUGUUGAAAAAUUAGCGGAUGACCUGUGGCU
rnacentral:rRNA from 1 species